rnacentral:rRNA from 1 species
UACGGAGGGGGCAAGCGUUGUUCGGAAUUACUGGGCGUAAAGGGCGCGCAGGCGGCUGCUCAAGUCAGGCGUGAAAGGCCUGGGCUCAACCCGGGAAUUGCGCUUGAGACUGGGCUGGCUUGAGUGCGGGAGAGGAUGGUGGAAUUCCCAGUGUAGCGGUGAAAUGCGUAGAGAUCCGGAAGAACACCGGUGGCGAAGGCGGUUAGCUGGGGUCGGACUGACGCUGAGGCGCGACAGCGUGGGGAGCAAACAGG